AAAGUUCCCUUCGGGGAACAAGUAGAGUGGCGCACGGGUGAGUAACACGUAGGUAAUCUACCUUUGGAUUGGGAAUAACACCGAGAAAUCGGUGCUAAUACCGAAUAAUGCAGCGGCACCUAAUGGUGACAGUUGUUAAAGCGGGGGAUCGCAAGACCUCGCGUCUAAAGAGGAGCCUGCGGCGGAUUAGCUAGUUGGUAAGGUAACGGCUUACCAAGGCGAUGAUCCGUAGCCGGCCUGAGAGGGCGGUCGGCCACACUGACACUGACAUACGGGUCAGACUCCUACGGGAGGCAGCAGUCGGGAAUUUUGGGCAAUGGGCGAAAGCCUGACCCAGCAACGCCGCGUGAAGGAUGAAAUCCCUCGGGAUGUAAACUUCGCAAGGACGGGAAGAAUAAGUCGGUGCUAACACCAUCGGCGAUGACGGUACUGUUUGUAAGCUCCGGCUAACUCCGUGCCAGCAGCCGCGGUAAUACGGGGGGAGCAAGCGUUGUUCGGAUUUACUGGGCGUAAAGGGCGCGUAGGCGGCCACCGCAAGUCGACUGUGAAAUCUCCGGGCUUAACUCGGAAAGGUCAGCCGAUACUGCGGGGCUAGAGUGCAGAAGGGGCAACUGGAAUUCUCGGUGUAGCGGUGAAAUGCGUAGAUAUCGAGAGGAACACCUGCGGCGAAGGCGGGUUGCUGGGCUGACACUGACGCUGAUUGUGCGAAAGCUAGGGGAGCGAACGGGAUUAGAUACCCCGGUAGUCCUAGCCUUAAACGAUGAAUGCUUGGUGUCUGGGGUUUUAUAGUCCCCGGGUGCCGUCGCUAACGCUUUAAGCA
rnacentral:rRNA from 1 species